rnacentral:rRNA from 1 species
GAUCAUGGCUCAGAACGAACGCUGGCGGCAGGCUUAACACAUGCAAGUUGAACGGGAUUUGUAUGGUGCUUGCACCAUGUAAUGAGAGUAGCGCACUGGUGAGUAACACGUGGGAACAUACCUUGAAGUGGGGGACAACAGUUGGAAACGACUGCUAAUACCGCAUAAUCCCUGAGGGGGAAAGAUUUAUCGGUGAUGGAUGGGGAUGCGUCUGAUUAGCUUGUUGGCGGGGUAACGG